rnacentral:rRNA from 1 species
UACGGGGGGAGCAAGCGUUGUUUGGAUUUACUGGGCGUAAAGGGCGCGUAGGCGGCCACUGCAAGUCAGUUGUGAAAUCUCCGGGCUUAACCCGGAAAGGUCAACUGAUACUGCAGGGCUAGAGUGCAGAAGGGGCAACUGGAAUUCUCGGUGUAGCGGUGAAAUGCGUAGAUAUCGAGAGGAACACCUGCGGCGAAGGCGGGUUGCUGGGCUGACACUGACGCUGAUGUGCGAAAGCUAGGGGAGCGAACGGG